UUUCAAGGCUUACUGUGAUGACCUAAGGACCCAGCAUCUUCUGCGUCAUCAGACUGCAGCUUAUUACCUGGCAUAUAUGUCCAGACAGCAGUGCAGGAGCGCAUUCCUGACUGAAAAACCAGCAUGGGGACACAGAAGUUUCCAAAAGCUGUGGUGCUUUUAUCAUUGUCUUUAUUUGCAGUCUCCAAAUCAAUUCUACUAAGGCCUGGCAAGUUUGUUGUUCUUUCAUUUCUGAUUUGUUGUGAAAGAUCUUUGUUCAUCUGUUCGCUGAUGCAAGCCAGUCACCAGACAAGCUCAGUAAUGCUCUGAUAUCACCUGUCUUAAACCAGGUCACUGCCCAAAAGACUUCAUUCCUAUUGUGCCAGCAAAACCGUGUGUGCAUGAUGGAGACUGCGAAGAAGGGGAGAAAUGUUGUGUUUAUGACAGAAACCCUAUCUGUGCCCCUGCUUUUUUCCCCAACCAAGGGUGCCCCUUGACAGAUGGGUUAAUUGUGCUCUGUGCUGAACUCUGCAGCAGUGACAGUGACUGCUCAGUGGGUGAAAUGUGCUGCUUUAAUGGGUGCGGACAUCAGUGCAUGUCAACUGUACCAGUGAAGUCAGGAUGCUGUGGCCGUCAAGUUUUCACCCCCUGGUGUUAUUCAUUCUGUGGUCACGACAGUGACUGUUCAGGCGAAAAGAAGUGCUGUCCGACAACAUGUGGCCGUGUGUGUAAAGAUCCCAUCUUUUUAAGAACUUGUUAAUACAAAUUUUUUGAAUAAAAAUAUAAACUAAA